GCGAACCUGUAACGCGCCCUUGAACUAUUCUUGUCACCGUGGGACCCAAAGAGGUUCCAGGCACACAGCUCAGCUGUUUUCGCCUGAUUUCUACGCAUAUCUCGGUGGAGCCGGCGUGGGUUUUGGCACGGAUGCAAGUUGAUGUGCCCGCGCCUCUGCUGGGGAUGGCGACUUCAGUUGGGGCGGCGACUAGGAAGCGGACUGGCCUCCAGAGCGACCGACCGCGAUGAUACCAGUGUCUACUCGCUCAGCAGUGUGGACUUCUCCGAUGACGACUUUCAGCUCGUGAGGGGCCGAAACGUGAAACGAAGGAACACCAGGGCCUACCUGUCUUCAAGCACGUCGACCGUAGGACGAACUCGGUCCCAUGAUGCUACCUCAAGACGCUGCCCCAAAAUGAAGAAGGAAAGGGCGUUCUUGAAGCAGACGGCGAGAGACCGUCCGUAACGACGGGAAGCUGUAGCGGC